UUUAUAUGAAACUCUGUACACUUAUAGAUCUCAUUGAGCCGAACAACUUUCGCGCUCUAUAUCAUAGGCUCCGCCCAACAGGAAGUGAGCUAUUCAGGGCUGUUUCAAAAAAGCAUGCUCUGGAAUUUGAAAUACUCCUCUGAGGUUUUCCACCCGUUCUCCACAAAACUUGGUGAACAUGAUCUCAAGACAUUGGGGAUGAAAAAUUGCCAGGGGAUUUUUGAUAUCUCGAACGGUUUGGCCAUGGCGAGGCGUUGAAAUUAGGGCAAAAAAAUGAGAAACAGGAAAUGUCUAAUAACAUCCACAUACAUUUUCUGAUUUACAUCAAACUUCAUCGGAUUGUUUGAUGUAUGAUGCCGAUCGCAUAGAUGUGACUAUUAGGAGUCAAAGUUAUAGCGCCACCAACUGGCAGCAGGAAAGUGUGUCAUUUUCAAAAAUGCUUUGAAUUCAGCAUCUUAUUUUUUUACUCGAUUUGCUUCAAACUUCAUCAGAAUAAUGACAAAACACGGCCGAUGUAAAUCUGUUGUGGGGAUAUUGAUAUCUAAUAUCGUGUUGCCCAUGGCAACGUGACAAACUUGAAUAUUCUGUUCUGGUGAUUUUGAGGCAGAUAACAUGCUCAGAAUUACAUGAAACUCAAAACACAUAUCAGUAUUAAUGAUAGCUAGACA
ensembl:lncRNA